rnacentral:rRNA from 1 species
ACUCAAAGGAAUUGACGGGGGCCCGCACAAGCAGCGGAGCGUGUGGUUUAAUUCGAGGCUACACGAAGAACCUUACCUGGGUUUGACAUGCCAGUGGUAGGGAAGGGAAACCGGACCGACCUUCGGGAGCUGGCACAGGUGCUGCAUGGCUGUCGUCAGCUCGUGUCGUGAGAUGUCCGGUUAAGUCCGGUAACGAGCGCAACCCUCGGGUCUAGUUACAGGCUGUCUAGACCGACUGCCCGUUGAACGCGGGAGGAAGGUGGGGAUGACGUCAAGUCAGCAUGGCCUUGAUAUCCAGGGCUACACACACGCUACAAUGGCCGGCACAAUGGGUCGCCAACCCGUGAGGGGGAGCCAAUCCAGGAAAGUCGGUCUCAGUUCGGAUUGCAGGCUGCAACCCGCCUGCAUGAAGUCGGAGUUGCUAGUAAACGCGCAUCAGCUAUGGCGCGUUGAAUACGUUCCCGGGCCUUGUACACACCGCCCGU